UGGACCUCAACUCAGGCAAGACUACCUGCUGAACUUAAGCAUAUCAGUAAGCAGAGGAAAAGAAAACAACUGUGAUUCCCUUAGUAACUGCGAGUGAAGCGGGAAAAGCCCAUCGUUUAAUCUCCUCGUCCGCAGUGGCGGGGCGAAAUGUAACGGUAUGGAUAGGUUCUCUACCAACAAAGUCUGAUCAAAGUCCUCCGGAUUGAGGUGCCAAAGAGGGUGACAGCCCCGUGUGUGAUUGGACUGAGUUGGGCAUGUGGCCGAUUCCGAGAGUCGGGUUGUUUGGGACUGCAACCUAAAGCAGGUGGUAAACUCCACCCAAGGCUAAAUAUUGACACGAAACCGAUAGCGAACAAGUACUGUGAAGGAAAGUUGAAAAGAACUCUGAAAAGAGAGUUAAAAGUACGUGAAACCGCUAACGGGGAAGCGGAAGGCAGUGUCGAGAUCGAGUGAGUGAGUCUGCUCAAGAGCAAUUUUGAGUGGGCUAGCUUUGCUUGAUGCGUCAGGGCCGUUGGUGUGCGAUGGUUCAAUGGUCGGCAUGGCUUUCACAGCAAAUUUUUGUUUGUGGAUGCGGCUGGCUAUCCGCCUCGUGUGCUGACGUGCGAGUGAGGAGCGUUGGUGAUGUAUUGUCGGUUGGUGCGGUGUGGUGGUUCGCACUGGUCACAGCGUGGCUACGUGCGGACAAGUCAUGUGGUAGUUCAACAACCAAUGCUAGUUCCUGGCGUGAUACCCAACUUUCCGACCCGUCUUGAAACACGGACCAAGGAGGCAGAAUCUAGAGCGAGUUGGAGGGUGGAAAACCCGACGGCGCAGUGAAAGCGAGAGAUGAGACCCAGCGGCCUCGGCUGUUGGGGCAUCAUCGGCCAGUCAGUUGUGAUUGAGUUUGAGCUGUAGAUGCUGGACCCGAAAGAUGGUGAACUAUGCGUGAGCAGGGCGAAGCCAGAGGAAACUCUGGUGGAGGCUCGAAGCGAUUCUGACGUGCAAAUCGAUCGUUAGACUUGCGUAUAGGGGCGAUAGACUAAUCGAACCAUCUAGUAGCUGGUUCCCUUCGAAAUAUCCCUCAGGAUCGCUGAGACAAGUGGGAGACAGUUUCAUCGGGUAGAGCGAAUGAUUAGAGGAAUCGGGGAUAUAUUACUCUCGACCUAUUCUCAAACUUCCAACCGGUGAGAGUGCUGUUUGCUUGUGUGAAAUAGUACGUGGAAUGUUUUUGUCUCAAGUGGGCCAUUUUUGGUAAGCAGAACUGGCGAUGCGGGAUGAACCGAGAGUUGAGCUAAGGUGCCUAAGGACACGUUGAUAGAUACCACAAAAGGAGUCGGUCGAUAAAGACAGCAGGGCGGUGGCCCUGAAAGUAGGAAUCCGCUAAGGAAUUGUCUAAAAACUCACCUGCCGAAUCGACCGGCCCUGAAAAUGGAUGGCGCUGAAGCGUGUCACCGAUGCUCGACCUCUACAACGAGAGAUGAUUGUAGGGGGUAGAAGGGCGCGGCGGUGGCGACAAAGUACAAAGUGUAAACUUGUAUGGAGCCGCCGUCGGUGUAGAUCUUGGUGGUAGUAGCAAUUAUAAAAGUGAAAACCUUUUAGGCCGAAGUGGAGAAGGGUUCCACGUGAACAGCAGUUGGACGUGGGUUAGUCGGUCCUAAGCGGUAGCCUAACGGUAAUUCCAAAGCCAACUUGUCAGUUUCGAUUGACCGAGUUGGAAUCCGCGAAAGGGAAUCAGGUUAAUAUUCCUGAACCGGGCUAUGGAGACGCUGCCUUUUGUGUUGUCUGGGGGUUCGCUCUCAGGCAGUGCUGGGGUAGCUUAGCGGUAACGCAAGCAAUCUCGGAGACGUUGACAUCUAUGGCGGGGAGAAUUAUCUUUUCUGCAUAACAGGUAAACCACCUUGGAAUCGAGUCGUUCGGAGAUAAGGUAGAAAGCCUGGAAGAGCACCGCAACUUUUGCAGUGUCCGCAGUGUAGGUGUCGGCCCUUGAAAAUCCGAGGGAGUGGAUAAAUUUCAUGCCCGUCCGUACCGAAUCCGCAUCAGGUCUCCUAGGUGAGCAGCCUCUGGCACUGGAACAAUGUAGGUAAGGGAAGUCGGCAAAAUAGAUCCGUAACUUUGGGAAAAGGAUUGGCUCUAAGGGCCGGGCCAAUCGAGCUAGUAUUACCUAGGCUCGUGGGGGUUUGACUGGGUGGCCCAUCAAAUUCGCCCAAAAAGUUUGUUUGGGGGUUUGCUUGGUCGAGUCAACGCUGGCCAUGGAAUGCCGGCGUGAGUUUCCAGCAAGCCGAGUUGCCGCAAGGUGGCUCGGUCGAUGGGGCUCUUUACGGGUGGCAAGCAUCGGUCGACUUAGAACUGUUACCAACUUGGGGAAUCCGACUGUUUAAUUAAAACAAAGCAUUGCGAUGGCCCUAAUGGGUGUUGACGCAAUGUGAUUU
rnacentral:rRNA from 1 species